UACGUAGGGCGCAAGCGUUGUCCGGAAUUAUUGGGCGUAAAGAGCUCGUAGGCGGUUUGUCGCGUCUGCUGUGAAAACCUAAGGCUCAACCUUGGGCUUGCAGUGGGUACGGGCAGACUAGAGUGCGGUAGGGGUGACUGGAAUUCCUGGUGUAGCGGUGGAAUGCGCAGAUAUCAGGAGGAACACCGAUGGCGAAGGCAGGUCACUGG
rnacentral:rRNA from 1 species